GACGAACCGUGCGAACGUUGUUCGGAAUCACUGGGCUUAAAGGGCGCGUAGGCGGGCUGCCAAGUCAGGGGUGAAAUCGUUCGGCCCAACCGGACAAGGGCCCCUGAUACUGGCGGUCUCGAGGGAGGUAGGGGUCGAUGGAACUUCCGGUGGAGCGGUGAAAUGCGUUGAUAUUGGAAGGAACGCCGGAGGCGAAAGCGACGCACUGGAUCUCUUCUGACGCUGAGGCGCGAAAGCCAGGGGAGCAAACGGG
rnacentral:rRNA from 1 species